AAUAUUGAAGGGCUGCAGUAUAUUGACUGUACAAAGGUAGCAUAAUCAUUAGUUUUUUAAUUGGAAACUUGAAUGAAGGAUUGGAUGAAAUAUAAACUGUCUCUAAUUUAUUAAUAGAAAUUUAUUUUUUAGUUAAAAAGCUAAAAUAAAUUUAAAAGACGAGAAGACCCUAUAGAGUUUUAUAUUAAAAUUUAUUUAUAAAUUAUGUAAAAUUUUUAUUAUUAAAUAGGUUUAUAAUAUUGUGUUGGGGUGACAGAAAAAUUAAAUAAACUUUUUUUAAAAAUUUAACAUAAAUAAAUGAAUGAAUGAUCCAUUAAUAAUGAUUAUAAGAAAAAAUUACCUUAGGGAUAACAGCGUAAUAUUUUUUUUUAGUACGAAUAAAAAAAAAAGUUUGCGACCUCGAUGUUGGAUUAAGAUAAAAUUUAAAUGCAAAAGUUUAAAAUUUU
rnacentral:rRNA from 1 species